rnacentral:rRNA from 1 species
GACGAACGCUGGCGGCGUGCUUAACACAUGCAAGUCGAACGGAAAGGCCCUGCUUGCAGGGUACUCGAGUGGCGAACGGGUGAGUAACACGUGGGUGAUCUGCCCUGCACUUCGGGAUAAGCCUGGGAAACUGGGUCUAAUACCGGAUAGGAGCCAUUUUUAGUGUGAUGGUUGGAAAGUUUUUUUCGGUGUAGGAUGAGCUCGCGGCCUAUCAGCUUGUUGGUGGGGUAAUGGCCUACCAAGGCGGCGACGGGUAGCCGGCCUGAGAGGGUGGACGGCCACAUUGGGACUGAGAUACGGCCCAGACUCCUACGGGAGGCAGCAGUGGGGAAUAUUGCACAAUAGGCGCAAGCCUGAUGCAGCGACGCCGCGUGGGGGAUGACGGCCUUCGGGUUGUAAACUCCUUUCGCUAGGGACGAAGCUUUUUGUGACGGUACCUAGAUAAGAAGCACCGGCUAACUACGUG